rnacentral:rRNA from 1 species
AACGAACGCUGGCGGAAUGCUUUACACAUGCAAGUCGAACGGCAGCACGGGGGCGAACCCUGGUGGCGAGUGGCGAACGGGUGAGUAAUACAUCGGAACGUGCCCAAUCGUGGGGGAUAACUACGCGAAAGCGUAGCUAAUACCGCAUACGAUCUACGGAUGAAAGCGGGGGAUCGCAAGACCUCGCGCGAAUGGAGCGGCCGAUGGCAGAUUAGGUAGUUGGUGUAGGUAACGGCNCACCAAGCCAACGAUCAGUAACUGGUGUGAGAGCACGACCAGUCACACGGGCACUGAGACACGGGCCCGACUCCUACGGGAGGCAGCAGUAAGGAAUAUUGGUCAAUGGAGGCAACUCUGAACCAGCCAUGCCGCGUGAAGGAUGAAGGUCCUCUGGAUUGUAAACUUCUUUUAUGUGGGAAGAAAUGCUUGUUUUAUAACGGUUUGACGGUACCACAGGAAUAAGCACCGGCUAACUCCGUGCCAGCCGCCGCAGUAAC